CAGUCGCCGCGGGAAUACGUAGGUGGCAAGCGUUGUCCGGAAUUAUUGGGCGUAAAGGGCUCGCAGGCGGUUUCUUAAGUCUGAUGUGAUAGCCCCCGGCUCAACCGGGGAGGGUCAUUGGAAACUGGGAAACUUGAGUGCAGAAGAGGAGAGUGGAAUUCCACGUGUAGCGGUGAAAUGCGUAGAGAUGUGGAGGAACACCAGUGGCGAAGGCGACUCUCUGGUCUGUAACUGACGCUGAGGAGCGAAAGCGUGGGGAGCGAACAGGAUUAGAUACCCCCGUAGUCCCUGUCUCUUAUAC
rnacentral:rRNA from 1 species